CCACAGGCAGCGAGGUCCACAGGAAGGCCACAGUACCAUGGAGGAAGGAGAGGCAUGAGGGACGGAGAGGAUGAUGAGGUAGAAAGUGGAGAUAAAGAAUUCCAACAGUGUGAGAAAAAAAAUGGGGUGGAGAUCAGAUGGAUUUAAAAAAAAAAAGGUUGGUGGUAAGAUACAAAUUUUUUUUUUUUCAGGGGGGAAAAAACCUCAAUUUUUGGGCAGGAUUGUAUUUCCAAUUGGUGGUGUCCAAUUUAGGGAGAAUGAACAGAGGUUAAAAGAUGGCGUCAUGACAGUAGUGGCAAAGGAGGACAGAAGAACAAUUGGUCAUGGGACGUGCAGAUGCCACAAGGUCAGUUCGGGGAAUUUUUAAAUUCAACAAAAAGACAAGGUAAAAGAAAGGAGAGAGAGAAAAAGAGAGAGAGAGGAAAACA